rnacentral:rRNA from 1 species
GACGAACGCUGGCGGCGUGCUUAACACAUGCAAGUCGAACGGUGAAGCACUGCUUUCUCUGUGGGUCCGUGGCGAAAGGGGGAGUGAAACGCGAGUAAAACGCCCUUGACUCUGGGGUAAGCGUUGGAGACAACGGGUAAAACCGGAGACAAGAUCAGACGGCGCGGGCAGCAGGUGGGAAAAUUUUUUGGUCAAGGAUGGAAUCGCGGCCUAUCAGCUUGUUGGUGGGGGAAUGGCUCACCAAGGCGACGACGGGUAGCCGGCCUGAGAGGGUGACCGGCCACACUGGGACUGAGAUACGGCCCAGACUCCUACGGGAGGCAGCAGUGGGGAAUAUUGCACAAUGGGCGCAAGCCUGAUGCAGCAACGCCGCGUGCGGGAUGACGGCCUUCGGGUUGUAAACCUCUUUUAGUAGGGAAGAAGCGAAAGUGACGGUACCUGCAGAAAAAGCACCGGCUAACUACGUG